GGGUUUGUGAUGCAGCUUCGGCGCGUGCUCAAGUGUGCCAUAGAGUUAGCAUUAAAAACGUGAAAAACGGACUAUUGCUCCGGAACGGUAAGGACUACGGUGGCCGGCCGGCCGCGGUGGACGGGCCGGCGCUCGGCCACUCUUCUCUGGCGGCUGCAGCUGCCGCAGACGGAGACGGACCUGGACUACCCGGCGCCCACAGAGCCCCGCACAGUGCCGGAGACGGACCUGGACUACCCGGCGCCCACCGAACCCCGCACAGUGCCGGAGCUCGACCGACGCACUAGCUGUGUCACGUUGGGGAAGAGCGUUUUCACGCGCCCCCUCGAACUCGGCUUCUGGGCCACGU